UACCUGGUUGAUCCUGCCAGUAAUCAUAUGCUUGUCUCAAAGAUUAAGCCAUGCAUGUCUAAGUACAUGCCGAAAUAAGGCGAAACCGCGAAUGGCUCAUUAAAUCAGUUAUGGUUCCUUAGAUCGUUUCUUCCUACUUGGAUAACUGUGGCAAUUCUAGAGCUAAUACAUGCAGUGAGCCUGAAGCCCUUUGGGCGACGGGUGCUUUUAUUAGACCAAGAUCGAUCGGGUUUCGGCCCGUAUUGUGUGGUGACUCUGGAUAACUUUGUGCUGAUCGCAUGGCCACGAGCCGGCGACGUUUCUUUCAAGUGUCUGCCUUAUCAACUUUCGAUGGUAGGUUACUUGCUUACCAUGGUUGUUACGGGUAACGGAGAAUCAGGGUUCGAUUCCGGAGAGGGAGCCUGAGAAACGGCUACCACAUCCAAGGAAGGCAGCAGGCGCGCAAAUUACCCACUCCCGGCACGGGGAGGUAGUGACGAAAAAUAACAAUACGGGACUCUUUUGAGGCCCCGUAAUUGAAAUGAGUACACUCUAAAUCCUUUAACGAGGAUCAAUUGGAGGGCAAGUCUGGUGCCAGCAGCCGCGGUAAUUCCAGCUCCAAUAGCGUAUACUAAAGCUGCUGCGGUUAAAAAGCUCGUAGUUGGAUCUCAGUUCCAGACGAGUAGUGCAUCUACCCGAUGCGACGGCUCGGACUGAACAUCAUGCCGGUCCUUUCUUGGUGCACUUCAUUGUGUGCCUCGAGAAGGCCGGUGCUUUUACUUUGAAAAAAUUAGAGUGCUCAACGCAGGCGAGUCGCCUGAAUAAACUUGCAUGGAAUAAUAGAACAAGACCUCGUUUCUGUUCUGUUGGUUUUUGGAAUACGAGGUAAUGAUUAAGAGGGACAGACGGGGGCAUUCGUAUUGCGGCGCUAGAGGUGAAAUUCUUGGACCGUCGCAAGACGAACUACUGCGAAAGCAUUUGCCAAGAAUGUUUUCUUUGAUCAAGAACGAAAGUCAGAGGUUCGAAGGCGAUCAGAUACCGCCCUAGUUCUGACCAUAAACGAUGCCAACCAGCGAUCCGCCUGAGUUACUCAAAUGACUCGGCGGGCAGCUUCCGGGAAACCAAAGUGUUUGGGUUCCGGGGGAAGUAUGGUUGCAAAGCUGAAACUUAAAGGAAUUGACGGAAGGGCACCACCAGGAGUGGAGCCUGCGGCUUAAUUUGACUCAACACGGGAAAACUUACCCGGCCCGGACACUGGGAGGAUUGACAGAUUGAGAGCUCUUUCUUGAUUCGGUGGAUGGUGGUGCAUGGCCGUUCUUAGUUGGUGGAGCGAUUUGUCUGGUUAAUUCCGAUAACGAACGAGACUCUAGCCUAUUAAAUAGGUGCGGGGGUUCCCAGCACCUUACAACCUUCUUAGAGGGACAAGCGGCUCCUAGCCGCACGAAACAGAGCAAUAACAGGUCUGUGAUGCCCUUAGAUGUCCGGGGCCGCACGCGCGCUACACUGAAGGAAGCAGCGUGUCUUUAUCCCUGUCUGAAAGGACUGGGUAACCCGUGGAACUUCUUUCGUGAUUGGGAUAGGGGCUUGCAAUUGUUCCCCUUGAACGAGGAAUUCCCAGUAAGCGCGAGUCAUAAGCUCGCGUUGAUUACGUCCCUGCCCUUUGUACACACCGCCCGUCGCUACUACCGAUUGAAUGAUUUAGUGAGGUCUUCGGACCGAUGUCCGGCGCGGCCUUUCGGUUGCGCCGGUCUGUUGGAAAGAUGACCAAACUUGAUCAUUUAGAGGAAGUAAAAGUCGUAACAAGGUUUCCGUAGGUGAACCUGCGGAAGGAUCAUUA
rnacentral:rRNA from 1 species